AUGAAUAUGUUGUGUGUUUUGAUAUUUUUAGCGUGGUUACCGAAUGCCUUCAGUGUAUGGGUAGAACAGACACCAAAAGAAGCAACAAAACAAACAGGCGAAACUCUGACCAUAAACUGUGUUUUAAAAGAUGCUUUCUGUGGCCUCAAUAGCACACGUUGGUACCGCCAAAGACCCGGUCAAACCAAUAACGAAAGCUUAUCGAUUGGAGGGCGAUAUGCGGAAUCUCUCAACAAGCCAACAAACUCCUCUUCGCUGCAGAUCAGGAAUCUAAUUGUUGAAGAUACAGCUACGUAUUUCUGCCAUGCUCUCCACUACCACAGAUUCGCAUUGUUUCUCAGAGAUCCUACCGUUGAAGAAAUGUGCACAAACAAAACUGCCACACUGGUCUGUGAAGUGAUCGCCACAACUCCAGCUGAGGUUUCCAUAUCUUGGAGAGUGGGUGGAAAGGAAAGGCCUGAUGGUGUUCAAACAGUACAAGCAACAAAGUUCGGAAGCCAAUAUCUGACAGUCAGCCGUUUGACCAGCAGCGUUGCCGAGUGGGACAGCGGGGUAGAAUACUCCUGCUCGGUGCAGGACAAUCAAUUAGAUACUCCGUUAGCAAAACGGACACGAAACACAAAAGAAUGCCUUAUGGCUGACAUUAAUGCCAUAAUAAAAAAGCCUUCCUUUGAAGAGAUUUGGAUGCUUCGGAGGGCAACAAUUGUGUGCGAAGUGGUUUACACAGAUCUACAGAAUGUCACCGUCUCCUGGCAAGUAAAUGGGAGUCGGAGAAUGAACGGAGUAGAGACUCGCGGUCCAGAGAGGAGGGGAAGUAAAUCCGUCAUCAUUAGCAAACUAAAGAUCAGUGUGGAGGAGUGGAACAGUGGAACCGAAUACCUGUGCUUCGUAGAAGAUCGUGAUCUGCCAACACCACUGACAAUCGCCACCAAAAAAAACAAGGUUACUGAAAUGCACCGCCCUAAAGCCUACCUCUUGUACCCAUCAGCUGAGGAGAUUCAAGCCGAGGAAGCAGCUACCCUAAUUUGCCUCGUGACCGGUUUUUAUCCGGAAGAUAUAUACGUCGGCUGGAUGGCUAAUGACAACCUUUUGCAUUCGGGAUUCUCGAUCCAGUUUAACAGCGAUAAGGAAAACGGCUCUAACUCGGUUACCAGCAAACUGAGGAUCAGCGCAGAAGACUGGGAGAAGGGAACCACCUAUAACUGUUUGGUUGGACAUCCGUCGCUACAAACAAAUAUAGUCAGAAGUAUUAAUAAAUCGCGGGGAAAACCUACUUUAGUUAACGUGUCAGUUGUUCUAACUGACAGCUUUAAAUCGAGCGUCUAAUCAUCCUUGAUUUGAUGACUAGUAGCUUGGAAGUGUUUCUUGCUUACCGCGUAGCUGUUUGAGUUUCCGUUUUGCUGAUUUACUGAAGACCACGCAUAGCAUUCACUCUUCAGAUUAUAC